UACGUAGGGUGCGAGCGUUAAUCGGAAUUACUGGGCGUAAAGCGUGCGCAGGCGGUUUUGUAAGCCAGAUGUGAAAUCCCCGGGCUUAACCUGGGAAUGGCAUUUGGGACUGCAAGGCUUGAGUGCGGCAGAGGAGACUGGAAUUCCUGGUGUAGCAGUGAAAUGCGUAGAUAUCAGGAGGAACACCGAUGGCGAAGGCAGGUCUCUGGGCUGACACUGACGCUCAUGCACGAAAGCGUGGGGAGCAAACAGGA
rnacentral:rRNA from 1 species